ensembl:scaRNA
UGGACAUUUAUUUUUAUUGUUUCUUCUCAAAGUGAAAGUAACUCUUUGUAAAUGUCCUAGAGAAAUGUGGUAGCUUUAUGUUCACACUUUGCAAGUAAAAAGCAUGGAUUGUUCCACUACUGACAUUU